rnacentral:lncRNA from 1 species
GCUGAGUGGCAUUCCUAAUUUCAGUCAAGUGCAAAAAUGCAUGAUUGUAAAAUGUGCAUGACAUAGCUCUUGUUUGUUUAAGUGAGUUCAUACAUAUUUUUACUGUUCUACAUGUAUAGGUAACUGUUUGUAUUGCUUUGUCUGCAUUAACUAUAUUUUCUGAAUAUUUAUCCAUUUCUUGAUUUUAACUAUCUUUUUUUUCUUUGUCCAAACAUUUCUAUUUUCUGUUUUUAGGAAGUAUUGUAAAAGAACUGUCAUACUGUAAAGAUUAACAGGCCUUGGUAUAGUUUCAAUGACAAUUAAAAAAGAAAUCAAAG